GUCUCAAAGAUUAAGCCAUGCAAGUGUAAGUACGAGCUCGAGUACAGUGAAACUGCGAAUGGCUCAUUAAAUCAGUUAUGGUUCAUUUGAUCGUACGCUUUAAUACAUGGAUAACUGUGGCAAUUCUAGAGCUAAUACAUGCGUGAAGCGCCGACCUGACGGAAGGCGUGCAUUUAUCAGACCAAAACCAACCGGGCCUCGGCUCGUUUUGACGGUGACUCUGGAUAAGCUCGCGGAUCGCACGGCCUCGCGCCGGCGACAUCUCUUUAAAGCAACUGCCCUAUCAACUAUCGUCGGUACGGUAUCGGCCUACCGAGGUUGUAACGGGUGACGGAGAAUCAGGGUUCGAUUCCGGAGAGGGAGCCUGAGAAACGGCUACCACAUCCAAGGAAGGCAGCAGGCGCGCAAAUUACCCAUUCCCGGCUCGGGGAGGUAGUGACGAAAAAUAACAAUACAGGCCUCGUACGAGGCCCUGUAAUUGGAAUGAGUACACUUUAAACGCUUUAACGAGUAUCCAUUGGAGGGCAAGUCUGGUG
rnacentral:rRNA from 1 species